rnacentral:lncRNA from 1 species
GUGAGUCAUAUAGGGAGCCGUACAGACAUGAGGUACUGCCACAAAGGGAGCCAUAGGGAACCUCAUAGGGACCCAGAGAGAUUCAGGUACUGCCACAAAGGGAGCCGUGGGGAGCCCCAUAGGGAGCCAGAGCCAUCCUGGUACUGCCACAAAGGGAGCCGUGGGGAGCCCCAUAGGGAGCCAGAGAGAAUCAGGUACUGCCACAAAGGGAGCCAUGGGGAGCCCCAUAGGGAGGCAGGCAGACCCCAGGUACUGCCACAAAGGGAGCCGUGGGGAGCCCCAUAGGGAGCCAGACAGAGCCCAGGUACUGCCACAAAGGGAGCCGUGGGGAGCCCCAUAGGGAGUCAUAUAGACCCCAGGUACUGCCACAAAGGGAGCCAUUGGGGGGCCCAUAGGGAGUCAUAUAGACCCCAGGUACUGCCACAAAGGGAACCGUGGGGGGGCCCCAUAGGGUGCCAGACAGACCCCAG